ensembl:snRNA U4 U4 spliceosomal RNA
AGCUUUGCGCAGUGGCAGUAUCGUAGCCAAUGAGGUUUAUCCGAGGCGCGAUUAUUGCUAAUUGAAGUAAAUUUUCAUUCAAAAUUGUUAAAUACCUAUUUCUUCAGAAA